GGGCAAAGGGACGGUUCUGUCCGGAGCGGUGAAACUGCGGCCCCGGGAGCUGCUGCUGCUGCAACAACUGGGGCUGGCGCCGGGGUGUUCCCAGCCCCAUGGCCGCUGCAUGCACGUGGAACAGGCGGCACAGGCUCAGUUCUUGUUCCAGGUGUGCGCGAAGGCAGUGAUCAGCACCAGCUGGAUGAGGAUGAAGGCAAAGCCACCACAGACGCCUGUGUAGUGCCACGCUGCAAGGGGAGAGGGCAGCGAUGAGGCUGGCAUGAGGCUGGGGCCAUGGGACCACAGGAGCUCCCAGAGAACCUACAGCCCCUGGCCCGAUCCCAGCCCGCACCCGUUGUGGAGCUGAGCGCGGCAGUCAGCACUGGAGCGCACGUUGAGGAGCAGGGCGGCCUGCGCCAGGUGGAAGCAGGCAGUGCCGAAGC